AGAGUUUGAUCCUGGCUCAGGACGAACGCGGGCGGCGUGCUUAACACAUGCAAGUCGAACGGAAAGGCCCGUUCGGGGUACUCGAGUGGCGAACGGGUGAGUGACACGUGGGUGAUCUGCCCUGCACUUUGGGAUAAGCCUGGGAAACUGGGUCUAAUACCGGAUAUACCUCAUGGACUGCAUGGUUUGUGGGGAAAGCUUGUGCGGUGUGGGAUGGGCCCGCGGCCUAUCAGCUUGUUGGUGGGGUGAUGGCCUACCAAGGCGACGACGGGUAGCCGGCCUGAGAGGGUGACCGGCCACACUGGGACUGAGAUACGGCCCAGACUCCUACGGGAGGCAGCAGUGGGGAAUAUUGCACAAUGGGCGCAAGCCUGAUGCAGCGACGCCGCGUGAGGGAUGACGGCCUUCGGGUUGUAAACCUCUUUCAGCAGGGACGAAGCGCAAGUGACGGUACCUGUAGAAGAAGGACCGGCCAACUACGUGCCAGCAGCCGCGGUAAUACGUAGGGUCCGAGCGUUGUCCGGAAUUACUGGGCGUAAAGAGCUCGUAGGUGGUUUGUCGCGUUGUUCGUGAAAACUCACAGCUCAACUGUGGGCGUGCGGGCGAUACGGGCAGACUUGAGUACUGCAGGGGAGACUGGAAUUCCUGGUGUAGCGGUGGAAUGCGCAGAUAUCAGGAGGAACACCGGUGGCGGAGGCGGGUCUCUGGGCAGUAACUGACGCUGAGGAGCGAAAGCGUGGGGAGCGAACAGGAUUAGAUACCCUGGUAGUCC
rnacentral:rRNA from 1 species